rnacentral:lncRNA from 1 species
GAAGGGAUAAGGGGAUUAUUACCCCUAUUAUUGUUUUUCGAAGAAUAGAGGUGGGCGCAAGCAAGGACACGAAAAAAGAAAAUAAAGAGGGCAACUCACGGUGACGGCUGAAGGGGAUUGGAGGAACUAAAGAAAAUUGUCAAGCAACCUCACAAGCACCUCUAGUUAUACUUACGGCAAUUCGAAUCAGAAAAAGAAAAACAAGCUACCAAGCAGGCACGUCUCAAAAGUCAAAAGAAUUAAUAAGUAGGCUCGCAGGCACGUGAAUUAAUUUAAAGAGGGAGGCUAGUAGCUUAAUUUUUAUUUCUUUUCAUGAUGAACCGUGAUUUUGGUUGUGUUUUUGUUUCGUUCUUGAUCAUGAGUAGCUAGACUUUUCAUGCUACCUAGGUCUAGAUGAACUAUGACUUAAUGUUUUGAUUAUUUUGUUUGGACUAAUGAUUAAAUUGAGAUGAUUUACAUAUUCCUGUGA